rnacentral:rRNA from 1 species
UGGCGGACGGGUGAGUAAUGUCUGGGAAACUGCCUGAUGGGGGGGGAUAACUACUGGAAACGGUAGCUAAUACCGCAUAACGUCGCAAGACCAAAGAGGGGGACCUUCGGGCCUCUUGCCAUCGGAUGUGCCCGGAUGGGAUUAGCUAGUAGGUGGGGUAACGGCUCACCUAGGCGACGAUCCCUAGCUGGUCUGAGAGGAUGACCAGCCACACUGGAACUGAGACACGGUCCAG